GGGGGCGUUCUUGGAUUCGACGGGGAUAGUUUGAGCAUCGGUUGCGGGUAGUGGGGACGCGUCCGCUUCAUCAACGCUAAAGCCUAUUAAAUGGCAACCAACGUACAACUUUAGCAGCAGCUUAAUAACCUGACUGUUAAGCUUCUACCAAGCAUCGCCCAUGUGCUAGGAUAGGGGCUCACUUUAGUGGGAUACGCUGUAAGGUCUCCGCCUGGGGUCUUGCAGAAGAAGACAAUCAGGCUGACCCAACGAGUAGCGGGUUACAGCGCGACUCUCGGGUGACAUCAAAUCUGUGACUACACCCGUAGAAGCCGGUGUGGCGAUAUUUUCGGACAGGGGUUCGACUCCCCUCGCCUCCAUAC
rnacentral:tmRNA from 1 species